GUAGGAUGUAAGGAAAAGAGUACAGCUAGAGAUCAUGAAGGUUCGGGCUUAAAUAAAUGAGAAAUGGAGCUACUUUUAUGGAGCAACCUUGAGGGUAAAGAUAAUCAGGAGUUUGAUUUUGAAGAAUGUUAAUUUCAAGAUACUAAUGAGACACCCAAGUAGAGAUGUCAAGAAGGCAGUUGGAUAUGCAAGCCCAGAGUUCAACUGAGACGUCUGGCUUAGAGCUAGAAAUUUGGGAUCCAUCUGCAUAGAUUUGGUAUGAAAACCUAUAAAAUUUGACAAAAUCUUCUGGAGAAUGAGUGCAGAUGGGAAAGAAUCAACAUAAGGAACUGAGCUUGGGGCACUCCAACAUUUAAGGGUUGGGGAGAUGAGGAGGAGAGACCAGUAAGGAAAGCAAAGAACCAAGAAAGAAUAGUCCAUGGAGAAAAAAGUAUUUCAAGAAGUGAAGGAUACACUGUAUCAAAUACUACUGACAGGAUGACUAAACUGAAGAUUAGUAAUUGGCCACCGGAUUUGGUAAGAUGAGGAUCACUGGUGAUCUUGAUGGAGGCCACCUCCUGUCAAAGCUGGGACAUCUGAGAGACAGUGGUCACACAACAACUCAACUGCAUGUGCACCUAAAACAGUAGCUUAUUUUCUCUGACUGUUUCUUCUUCUUCUUCUUCUACUCCUUAUUCUUAUUCUUCUUUCUGAUUUACCAACCUACUGGGUAUCAGUGCAAAAAAUUAUUUUACUUGCGAAUUAAUGAUAUCACCACGUUUUCUUGCUUAAACUGUCUUUUUAGGUUAGCUCAGCUACUCUGGGCUAAACAUUCAGUCUUUCAGAUAUACUCCACUUACCUUAGCUCCUCCCAUGGUGGUUCCGGGGUUGGAGAGGCUUACGUGACCUUAUGGUAGCAGGGCAGAGGCAGGGCUAUGCUGCUCAUGGGGCAUUCUGUAAAAGUAAGAUGUGUCUUCCUUAUGAUACCUUCCUUCCAGUUGUUGGAAAGUUGUCGUGCUGCUUUUAUUAGAGCAAGCAUCUUGUUGCCAUAUGCUUUAAAAUGGACAUAAUAAAUGUGCAAAUCUUCAAUGUCUGUUAAAUGAAUGGUGCCCUCUUAGACAUGGAUUUCUUGUGCAACACUCAACCUGCACAACUGUAUGCCAGUCUCUAUUUUUGUACCACAGUAAAGUGCAUGCAUAAGGCUGAAUAUGGGGUUUUCCCCAGAGGCUUGCAGCUAUCUUCAGGAAAAGCAGACUAUUGGCAUUGACCAUCCUGGCAACUCUGGAAAUUCUAUUGAUCUCAGGCCAUGAGGAUCAACAUUUGUCUCCGACAUCCUCAUUUUAACUCUUCUUUGCCUCCUCCCCUUAGACCACUGCGGUCAGGAGCCCAGGCUUUUUCAUUUCCCUGAAUAAUAGAAGCUUCGUUUACAUCAUGAUUGGUUCUCACUACCCCCUGGCAUAGAGAAAACUCCAAUUUUAAGUCAGCCAGGCCUACUUCUUGAUAUGAGAUGGGAGCCUAAGAGGUUUAAAAAGUUCUUUUAUUUCCCCAUAGUGUCUGGCUUUUGAGACUCCACUCACUAGUGACUCACAAACAAUGCUGACUUGCUUUUUCUAGCUAAAGUUUACCCUUUUCCUGAAGCAUAAAACACACUGUUUCUGUGUGUAGGCCCCACAGGGCAGCAGUGUUUUCUGGAUUUGAAAAAUUUAACAGAAAAGCUCUCAAAAAAUUGUAUUAUUUUAUCUGUCUUUUGUGGCAGUUUAUUGAAAGCUAUAAGAGGAAGCCAAAAACCACCAACAUUUUGAAUUUUUCCUUCCAAAGUCUUGAUUCCAGACCCUUGGUGGACAUUAUCUGAGUCUCGGGAUAUAGCAGGAAAUAGUUUAACCAGAGAUUUUGCUACCACUUAACAUGGGUUACUAACAUCACAAGCUAGCUCUAUCUUGGCAUUGCCUUCUCCACUGCAGCUCUUCAGCUCUGCCUAUUCAACAGUCUGGAGUCUGUAACAUCACCCUCACUUCCAUGUUCCAAAUUCCAUUAGGAUCCUUCAGGAUUCAAGGAACAAAAAUACCAGAUUCACAUUAAAAUAAUAAGGAAGUGUAUUUGGUUCAUGUACCUGCAAUAUUCAAGACUCUCUGUAUCUUUAGGACACAGCUCCAGUGUUGUGUGAUUCCCUGAGCUCUCCUUUUUCCCAUGCAUUGGCUAUUUCAUGUUAACAAAAUGGCCACAAGGAUUCCAGGCAUCUCAUUCACAUACCACCACAUCCAGAUUAAAAGAAAGAGUCUUUGUCCCAGAAUCUAAGCAAGUUCGGUCACAUGCCCACCACUGAACCAAUCACUGUGGCUUUGAUUGACUUAUUUAGGUACUACGUGCUCCAUUGCUAAAGCCAAGAACCAUGUAGGUCUGGAUGUCAGGCAUUCCUAAAAAGAGGCAGCUCUGAAGUGUCAGCUGAAACAUUAUGAGAUGUUACAUUUAGAAUGGAGAGUUGAUUUCUCAUAAAGGGUUACAGCCUG
rnacentral:lncRNA from 10 species